AAAUCAUGUGAUGAGGAAAAAAAACUGCAACAAUAUGAUAGUCAUACAUUGAUUACUUUCCAUGAUUCAUUGUAUUUAAGUCUCUGAUGAUU
rnacentral:snoRNA from 1 species